UAAACCGAGGGCCGUUUGAAAUUAAACAAGCAGUCUUCGGAGAGUUAGCCAAUCUCAGUCAGUCUCUGUACUGCUACAGCUUUGUGCUUCGACUUUAUUGUUUUAUUAGCACUCAUGUAGUAUUUUUUAGACAAAAGAAGUGAUACUAAGGUAGACUGGUCGAUAAAGACUCGUCGUAACAUCUCCGUGGAUAGUCCUUAUGUUUGUAGCGAGCCACAAACGCCAGCUGUGGUCUACUGGCCGACGUAGCUGUUAGCUAGCCUCCCUUGGAGCUGUUUUCGACCCGUUUAUGUUCUAGAAAAAUUAUCGAUUAGCGUUGAAUCGGGUCAUUGCAAUAAUAUAUUUAGAUUAUGGACUCUACUGCUAUGCACAAGAUGCCAAAAGGCACGAAACUUCAAAGGCCUGAAAUUAAGUCAACCAGUGAUGGGCCCAAGCGGAUUCCUGUAUUGCAGCAGUCACAGCCCAUUCAGAAGGCUGUAGUCACACCAACACCGCAUCAGCGGGUUCUAGGUGUAUCAAAUGGACCUCAGCGCAUUCAGAGGCCUGUGAGUCAUCAGAAACCAGUGUCAAACCUGCCCGUUACUGUCAAGUCCACACACCCUGCUGAUCAGAAUGUGAACCCCGCUACUCAGAAUGUAAAUGCAGCAACACAGCUCAAACCCAGCACCCAGCAAAACCAGCCGAAAACGCAAGCUCCUAAACCAAACCUGACCAAACCCCAGUCGGAACCACAAAAGCCAGAGAAGCCACAGGACAAACCUGCCAAGAACGAUCAUGCACAAACUUCUACAUCAAAGACACGGUGGAGUCUGGAAAAUUUUGACAUUGGUCGUCCUUUGGGAAAGGGGAAGUUCGGGAAUGUUUACCUGGCCAGGGAGCGACAGACUAAGUUCAUCCUGGCCCUGAAGGUGCUCUUCAAAAAGCAACUGGAGAAGGCUGGGGUGGAGCACCAGCUGAGGAGAGAAGUGGAGAUCCAGUCUCACCUCAGGCAUCCGAACAUCCUGCGACUCUAUGGCUACUUUCACGAUGCCUCUCGUGUGUACCUCAUUCUGGAGUUUGCACCCAGGGGAGAGCUGUACAGCGAGCUCCAGCGCUGUGGACAUUUUCCCGAGGACAGAAGCGCCACGUACAUCAUGGAGUUAGCGGAUGCCCUCAACUAUUGCCACACCAAAAAGGUGAUCCACAGGGACAUCAAACCAGAGAACCUGUUACUGGGGGGCAAUGGGGAGCUCAAGAUCGCGGAUUUCGGCUGGUCUGUUCACACCCCGUCCUCCAGGAGGUCCACUCUGUGUGGGACACUGGACUACUUGCCUCCAGAGAUGAUUGAGGGGAAAACUCAUGACGAGAAAGUGGACCUGUGGAGUCUCGGGGUCCUUUGCUACGAGUUCCUGGUUGGAAAACCCCCAUUUGAAGCAAAAACCCAUGAGGAGACCUACCGCAGGAUUUCAAGGGUGGAGUACUCUUACCCACCACAGUCCAGUAUCAGUGCUGGAGCUAAAGACUUGGUUGCCAGGCUGCUGAAGCACAACCCUAUGCACAGACUGCCCAUCCAGGGAGUCCUGUCCCACCCCUGGGUGGUCGAGUACUCAACCAAGAAGCCAACAACCUCGAACAGUGAAGAGCCCAGCCAGUGACUGGUCUAUGUACAACUGCACGUCUGACGGAGACUGUACAAGAUAAACAUGAGGGUGUAGCUGACGCUCAGUUAUUUUACUCGGUAACCCGUCUUCGCACUGACGUUUGAGUGAGGCGCUCUCAUCGACUUCAUACACCUCUAGCUGUGUCCAGGCAGCACAGGUGUGCCUGCAAGCAAUUUGGAAUUCAGUUAUACUUCUGGCCAAAGACCAUCUGACAAGCGUAACGCAAGAGCCCGGGAUUGAACCACUGAAUCUGUAGAUGGUUUGCCUCCUGAGCCACAGCCAUGGAUGGAGUGCCUCAGCAUGGUUAUACAGCUUAUUUCAAAGAUGUAUUUAAUAAAGCAUCAAGAACAACUGUG